rnacentral:rRNA from 1 species
CAAGUCGAACGGCAGCGCGUUUUGGGUAACCAAAAUGGCGGCGAGUGGCGGACGGGUGAGUAAAAUGUAGGAAUCUAGCCAGAGGAAGGGGAUAACUUGGGGAAACUCAAGCUAAUACCAUAUAAGCCUUAAGGGGGAAAGCAGGGGAUCGAAAGACCUUGCGCCUUUGGAUGAGCCUACAUCGGAUUAGCUAGUUGGUAGGGUAAAGGCCUACCAAGGCGACGAUCCGUAGCUGGUCUGAGAGGAUGACCAGCCACACUGGGACUGAGACAAGGCCCAGACUCCUACGGGAGGCAGCAGUGGGGAAUAUUGGACAAUGGGGGCAACCCUGAUCCAGCAAUGCCGCGUGUGUGAAGAAGGCCUUCGGGUUGUAAAGCACUUUCAGUGGGGAGAAAGGUGCGGAUGUUAAUACCAUCCGUAAUUGAUGUUACCUACAGAAGAAGCACCGGCUAACUCUGUGCCAGCAGCCGCGGUAAUACAGAGGGUGCAAGCGUUAAUCGGAAUGACUGGGCGUAAAGGGUGUGUAGGUGGUUAUAUAAGUUAGAUGUGAAAUCCCCGGGCUUAACCUGGGAACUGCGUUUAAGACUGUAUAGCUAGAGUACUGUAGAGGAUAGUGGAAUUUCCAGUGUAGCGGUGAAAUGCGUAGAUAUUGGAAGGAACACCAGUGGCGGAGGCGACUAUCUGGAUAGAUACUGACACUGAGACACGAAAGCGUGGGGAGCAAACAGGAUUAGAUACCCUGGUAGUCCAUGCUGUAAACUAUGAGAACUUGCUGUUGGAUGCAUAAAGGCAUUUAGUAGCGAA